GACGAACGCUGGCGGCGUGCUUAACACAUGCAAGUCGAACGGAAAGGCCUCUUUCGGGGGGUACUCGAGUGGCGAACGGCUGAGUAACACGUGAGUAACCUGCCCUUGACUUUGGGAUAACUUCAGGAAACUGGGGCUAAUACCGGAUAGGAGCUCCUGCUGCAUGGUGGGGGUUGGAAAGUUUCGGCGGUUGGGGAUGGACUCGCGGCUUAUCAGCUUGUUGGUGGGGUAGUGGCUUACCAAGGCUUUGACGGGUAGCCGGCCUGAGAGGGUGACCGGCCACAUUGGGACUGAGAUACGGCCCAGACUCCUACGGGAGGCAGCAGUGGGGAAUAUUGCACAAUGGGUGGAAGCCUGAUGCAGCAACGCCGUGUGCGGGAUGACGGCCUUCGGGUUGUAAACCGCUUUCGCUCAUGACGAAGCUUUGUGUGACGGUAGUGGGUAAAGAAGCACCGGCUAACUACGUG
rnacentral:rRNA from 1 species